rnacentral:tRNA from 1 species
GCACUUGGUUCAGUGGUGGAGAAUCUGACCAGCAUGCAGAAGGCCCCAGGUUCGAGCCCUGGCAUCUCCA